ACCUGAACGAGACCUGCGACCGGAUCGCAGGUCAUUCCGAGAUGGUGU
rnacentral:sRNA from 1 species